rnacentral:lncRNA from 10 species
CAUGGUAAAUGCAUUUCCAGUGUAUUACUUACAAUAAUAGCACCAAUAAGUUUGUUCAAAUGUAUGACUAAUGAUAAAAGCCUAUUUUUUUAUUUUACCAAACAUCCAUUGAUAAUAUCUCAACAUUACUUAUUCCUCAGCCAGAAUACUUCCUAAAGUGUUAAGAAGCAAUAUUUCUUAAGGACCUAUGUCAAGCUCCAUCAGGGCAGGUUGAUCUUGAAAACUUGGGUCAUUCUACUAUUCAACUUGGUGCCUUGCACAUUGUGAGUGAUCAAUAAUAAUCAUUUAGAAACCGAUUUUUUCCUUCUAAUUUGCCCCCUGCAUUCUUAAGUCAUAGGCAUAACAAGUGCAUCAGCAUUCAUGAUACCAAGAAUAUUUUAAUAACAAAAUUAUUAUUUUUACCAGAUUUAUUAAAGUACGGUUGAUGUACAAAAUAAAUUUUUACCAGAUUUAUUAAAGUAUGGUUGAUGUAAUAUGUACAAUUUGAUGAGUCUGGCUCAUUACCACAAUCAAGGUAAUAGACAUAUCCAACACCUUCCAAAGUUUCACUGUGCCCUCUGUUUUGGGUGGUAAGAACAGUUAAUAUGAGGUCUACCUUCUCAACACAAAUAUUCUUUAUAUUAAAAGAACCACUGAGUUCUUUCAUAACAAUAGUCAUCUCAUGAGGCAGAAUUGAGACUGUAACAUGAUGGUUAGAUUUUGUAUACCUAUUUUCAAAUUUGCUAGUCUUAACAGAGUUCCAAUCACAUAGAUUGUGACAGAUUCUCAGAAUAGCAUUGUGGGAACUUUGAGAAUUUAGUCCAUUUCAUUACAUAAAAUAUAUUUAAGACUUUCUGUAUAUGAAGAAUAAAGUCCCUGUAAAUGGGUUAUUUUUAAUAGGAACUCUUCAAGGUCUAAAACUUGAAAAAGGGAAGAUCUUUUGAAGAGGACUUUGCAAAAGACUUUGACGGUAUUAAUACAUGGGAUAAAAGAAGUUGAGCUCAGGUUGCCAACUUGUCUUUUUAAUAAUAGUCUA